UGGCUGUCGUCAGCUCGUGUCGUGAGAUGUUGGGUUAAGUCCCGUAACGAGCGCAACCCUUGUCCUUAGUUACCAGCACCUCGGGUGGGCACUCUAAGGAGACUGCCGGUGACAAACCGGAGGAAGGUGGGGAUGACGUCAAGUCAUCAUGGCCCUUACGGCCAGGGCUACACACGUGCUACAAUGGUCGGUACAGAGGGUUGCCAAGCCGCGAGGUGGAGCUAAUCUCACAAAACCGAUCGUAGUCCGGAUCGCAGUCUGCAACUCGACUGCGUGAAGUCGGAAUCGCUAGUAAUCGUGAAUCAG
rnacentral:rRNA from 3 species